rnacentral:lncRNA from 1 species
UUUUUAAAGACAUGUGCUGACACGUGGCGCCACAUGGCUGGAGUCAUUUUUUUAAUUAAAAAUAGUAUAGCCGCACGGCGAUACUCAGUUUUGAAAUAUUUUUUAAAAACCCAAGUGUUGACACGUGGCGCCAAAUGGUUGGGGGAACUUUUUUAUAUUAAAAAUAGUAUAGCCGCCCGGCUAUACCCAGUUUUGAAAUUUUUUUAAAAAAG